rnacentral:lncRNA from 1 species
GUUGAAAUGUUUCCACUAGGAGUUAUAUCUCUGAUUCAAAAGAUGAUAAAGGGUAACCGAUGAAUGUACAUAGAACUAAAUGAAAAAAAUUCGAUGACCUCAUUUAAUCGCUGGUAACUUCCCUUUUCUGUGAAAAUUUCCAGCGUGUGUCUUUAACAUUUUAUAGACAGUUUAAAAUGUUGGUUCCAGCUGAAGCACACC